rnacentral:rRNA from 1 species
AUUGAACGCUGGCGGCAGGCCUAACACAUGCAAGUCGAACGAGUGGCGGACGGGUGAGUAAUGUCUGGGAAACUGCCUGAUGGAGGGGGAUAACUACUGGAAACGGUAGCUAAUACCGCAUACCAUCGGAUGUGCCCAGAUGGGAUUAGCAAGUAGGUGGGGUAAGGGAUCACCUAGGCGACGAUCCCUAGCUGGUCUGAGAGGAUGACACGCCACACUGGAACUGAGACACGGUCCAGACUCAUAAGAGAGGCAGCAGUGGGUAAUAUUGCACAAUGGGCGCAAGCCUGAUGCAGCCAUGCCGCGUGUAUGAAGAAGGCCUGCGGGUUGGAAAGUACUUUCAGCGGGGAGGCGUUACCCGCAGAAGAAGCACCGGCUAACUCCGUGCCAUCAGCCGCGGUAAUAC